rnacentral:lncRNA from 1 species
GCCAUUUGCACACAUAACUUCUUCUAGUUUAUUUUUGAUAGUUUUUCCAGGAAACUGAUAUUUAAAAUGAUUACACUUGGACGGAAAAAGAAAUAACUUGUGUUGUAACGAAGAUGAAAUGCAAAAAGACUUGAAGGAGUUUCAAGAGUUUACUCAGACCGAACCCAUGAAAAUCCUUAAACAUUGCAGCACCCACUGGUUAUCGCUUGGGAAGUGUGUUGGAUGCAUACUGCAACAGUGGCCAACCCUUAAGAGCUACUUCCUUAGCCAUUCCAACUGUGAGAACCCUGGUCGAGUCAAGAGGUGUGCUAACAGACUUUCCAAUAAAGAAAUCCUCUUACACUACCAGUUUCUUGGGUUCAUCAUGCCAGUGUUAGAUGAGUUCAACACCACCUUUCAGUCCGACAGUGCACUGAUGUGCCACUUACAUGGGGAGAUGAUGAGACUACUGCAUCGCUUCAUGGGAAAAUCAUCAUCAGGGGUAGUGAGGACAUUAAGAAGGUAGACUACAAGAAUCCCGACAACCAACACAGUAAUGAGAUAAUUGCCAUAGGUUUGAAAACUAGAUACCGAUACCGGUAGUUCUUACGUAUCCAUGGUGAAGAAGUUGAUAAGCAGACAGUCACUAAGUUCUUUAGGAAGAUUAGAAAUUUUUACAUGUGUGUUGUGGAGAGAUGUUGCAGAAAUUCCCAUUGAAUGACCUAACUCUGUUGGCCCAUGGUUCUCUCUCACCUGAUUCCAGAGACAGCGUAACAGCAGAGUAAGGUUGCUGUCCCGUGUCAGUGAUCCAGAGAUAGACUCUCCAGCUCCACGGCAGUAUGUACUCUAUGUGUGCCCGGUACAAACUCUCUGGAAUGGGUCACAUUCGUUCUUUCCUCACAGAACACCGUGUUCUUGCUUUAUUGUAAGUUGCUUACAAAAUGUAUUUUAGGAUCUCUGUAGCAUGGUUAAUGUUGCUGACUUCAGCUCACUUGACCC